GAAUAUAGGGAAUCGUAUGCAUAACCUCAAAACAACUAAAAAUAAUAGUCACCUCUACAAUCUAGAUUUUAAAGUAAAGUAAAAAUAAUACUAUUUCAUUAAAUUUAAGUUUUUUUAAAUUAAUUAAUUAAUUAAUUUAUUUAUUAUUAGCUUCAAUUAAUGUUAUUAUUCAAUUUCUGCGAUAACUGUCAUUUUGACAACUUAAUGCCGGUUAAUUAACCAGUAAAGUAGCAGACAAAAUACUCACGAACAAAGUUGUUGGUAAUUUUUCAUUAUCAAUGAUAGGCAAGCAGACACCGAAGUGUCCAUUCUUUCUCUAUCUACGCAUUUUGGUGUUUGCUAUGUAUUUUGAAUGGAAAGUAUCCGGUAUUUAUUUCUAUUUGUUUCGUUUUUAAUAAGCAACUACAUUAUCGCUUCAAAUUGAGGAUAUAUGUAUAUAUUUGUUUUUGUUACACGAAAAUACAAGUUUGUGAUGGAGUUAUAAUAAGAUUGCAAAUAAAUUUUUCCACUCAUUUUCUUAAAUAGUUAAUGGAAUAGUAAUUUUGAAAUCAUUAUCUGAAUAAUUGUUAAUCGGAGAAAAUGUUACAAAUACUGCAAUCAAGUUCUAGAUGAUGAAGAAAUUAUUUGAAAUUAGACAAUUGUACAAGUUGUUGCACAGCAUUCUCUAUAACAUUGAUAGAGGAAAAAUUCCAAUAUUGUAUAUUUUCUCACAAUGGUUGGCAACUCAUUAGAAUCACCUCUAUUCCAUCAAUCUACAGGUAGAUGGGAAAUUUGUCAAUGGGUAUCGCAUAUCAAAUUGUCCAGGAUUAUGAUACCGAUAUUUUUGAUUUUAUUUAUUUUACCCUUAAUAGCUCAUUACUAUUUGUCUAAGGUAGAAUCAAAUACAUCAGGCAUGGAUAUUCACCGAACUAAACUUGAAGCAUUUGAAGAUUUCACGUCAAUGAAAGCAUCGGAUUUAAAAUUUCGAAUUGAAGAAAUGUUAAGAAUAAAAGUAUCAGUAAGUAAUGAACUUCGAGAUCUGGAAGGAAAACGUCAAAGACUGCAAAUGGAAGUGAGUAGUUUUACUCAGAAGAUUGAUGACCUCAAACAAGAUUUAGUUCAUCAACAAACAGAUCUUGACCGUUUGAAAAUGAGCUUAAUUCAAGCCCAAGUAGCUCAAAGAGAAGCAAUAGAACGUAAUACUCCAGAAUUAGCACCUCCUAAAAAAAUGUUAAUCAAUUCAUUGCCUGCCAUUCUUUCUAGUCCAGAUUCUCGUGGUUGUAAAAUGUUUAAUUGUUUUGAUCAUAGUCGAUGUGCUUUAACAAGUGGUUUUCCAAUUUAUUUGUAUGAUCCAGAUUUAUUUUCAACAUUGAAUCCAGGUUGGGAUAUUGAUGGAUUUAUCAGAACAACAACCAAACAAACUCUUGGUUAUAAUCCACAUUUGACGACUAAUCCAGCUGAAGCUUGUAUUUAUAUCGUAUUAAUUGGAGAAGUUUUAGCCGUGCCCGCUGUCAGUUUAUCAGCUUUAUCAAAUCUAUCAACAAAUUCAGGUUCAUCAAUUCUUCAAAAAAUAAAUCUCAAAAAACUACACUCUCUUCCAUAUUGGGGUGGAGAUGGUCGAAAUCAUUUACUGUUGAAUUUAGCAAGACGAGAUUUGUCAUUAAAUUCUGGAAAUUUAUUUGAUAACGUUAAUAGUGGAAGAGCAAUUAUAGUGCAGUCAACGUUCACUAGAAACCAGUUUAGAGAAGGAUUUGACUUAAUUGUUCCACCAAUACUUGGACCUCCAGGUGGAGAUAUUUGGCAAGAAUGUCCUCAAAUGGUUCCAGCAAGACGAAAAUAUCUUUUAUCCUUUCAAGGUGAAAUGAAAAUUACAAAAUCCUUUACAUCUCGUCAAAUGGAUGAUGCAGAAAUAGAUUUAGAAAGGUUAGAAGAUGAAAAUAGCCUAGAUAACUUUAUCAUCCAACACCUGAAUGACAUGACAACGGAAGUGACAUUAGAUAAAUUUUUCAUCCAAUUUGAAUGCAUUCCAGCUACUGAGAUACAUAAAACAGAUAAGGCAUUAGAUUGGUCCCUUUGUGGAACUGAAUCUUCAAGAAAAGAAAUUCUACAAGAUUCCACUUUUGCAUUAAUUUUAGCACCAACAAAUACGAGUUUUAUUUCUACUUCUUCGAUACAAGCUAGACUAUAUGAAGCUCUACGAUCUGGAGCUAUUCCUGUAGUAUUAGGAGGUGAUCAAGUACUUCUGAGUUACGAUCAAGUGAUAGAUUGGAAGAAAGCUGUAAUUUUUUUACCAAAAGCUCGGGUAACAGAAAUGCACUUUCUUCUUCGAGCAAUUCCUGAUAAUGAUUUACUAUUUAUGCGACGACAAGGACGGUUAAUUUGGGAAAGAUACAUGGGAACGGCUCAAGGAGUUGUGGAUACGAUUAUUACUUUAGUAAGAGAACGCUUAGGUAUUCCACCAUUACCUGCGAUGCAAUCUUCUAGUCCUAGUGUUUUCAAUGACAGUUUCGUACCUAUUAAAUCUGAUGCUAUAAUAGCUGAAUCUGAAGCUGAAGAAAGUUUAGGGCCAUUAGAGCCUCCAUACCCGUCGCCAGCGUUCAAAAAGAAUUACACCACAAUGUUAAUACAUGGAUACGAGAUUUGGAAUGUGUGGGCUAAUCCUUUUUAUCUUUACCCUCAGUUACCAUUCGAUACUAUACUUCCUAGUGAUGCUAAAUUCAUCGGCUCAGAAACGGGUUUUCGACCAAUUGGGAAAGGCGCAGGAGGAGCAGGAAAAGAAUUUAGUGAAUCAUUAGGUGGAAAUUAUCCUAGAGAACAGUUUACAAUAGUAAUUCUCACGUAUGAGAGAGAACAAGUUUUGAUUAAUUCUUUAGCAAGAUUGUAUGGUUUACCAUACUUAAAUAAAGUUUUAGUUGUUUGGAAUAGCCCGAAACCGCCUAUUGAAGACCUUAAAUGGCCUGAUAUUGGAGUACCGAUUGUAGUUAUAAAAUCAAUAAGGAAUAGUUUGAAUAAUCGAUUUUUGCCAUUCGAUACAAUUGAAACUGAAGCUGUUUUAUCUGUUGAUGAUGAUGCUCACUUAAGACAUGAUGAAAUCAUGUUUGGUUUUAGAGUUUGGAGAGAACAUAGAGAUCGAAUAGUUGGAUUUCCCGGACGUUAUCAUUCGUGGGAUCAAAAUUAUCACAAUGUUUGGAAUUAUAAUUCCAAUUAUUCAUGUGAAUUAUCGAUGGUAUUGACUGGAGCCGCCUUUAUUCAUAAACAUUAUAUGUAUCUUUAUACUUAUUGGAUUCCUCAAGCUAUAAGGGAUAAAGUGGAUGAGUACAUGAAUUGCGAAGAUAUUGCUAUGAAUUUUUUGGUAUCACAUUUAACACGUAAACCACCUGUUAAAGUCACAUCCAGAUGGACAUUCAGAUGUCCAGGUUGUCCAGUUUCUUUAUCAGAGGACGAUACUCAUUUUCAAGAGCGUCACAAAUGUAUUAACUAUUUUUCACAGAGUCGCAAGAAGGAAGGUGUAGAAGAAGAAAAAGCUAUGUUCAACACCUACAGACACGAUUUAAAGCCAAAAUAUACAACUAUUCAAUAUAGUUUAAGUAGUAGAGCAGUCAGCAUGUAACUAAAAGAUCAUCUUCGAUUCCCGGUCUUGACGAAAUAUAUGUAUAUUUUUCGCAAAAAAUCGUUCUGCGUCAGUUGUAGAGUUGUCUUUAUGAGGAGAAAAUUAAAAAGUGUUUGGAUAUAUGCCUCUACUGAAUACACAAUACCGUGCCGAUUCAAUCUUAUUUAAAACACGAAUAUCUCAU